UACGUAGGUGGCAAGCGUUGUCCGGAUUUACUGGGCGUAAAGAGCGCGCAGGCGGUCGUGCAAGUCGCGUGUGAAAGCCCCCGGCUCAACUGGGGAGGGUCACGCGAUACUGCUCGACUUGAAGGCAGGAGAGGGAAGCGGAAUUCCCGGUGUAGUGGUGAAAUGCGUAGAUAUCGGGGGGAAUACCAGUGGCGAAAGCGGCACCCUAGCAUUUUUCUGACGCUCAUGUGCGAAAGCGUGGGGAGCGAACGGG
rnacentral:rRNA from 1 species